rnacentral:rRNA from 1 species
UACGUAGGGUGCGAGCGUUGUCCGGAAUUACUGGGCGUAAAGAGCUCGUAGGUGGUUUGUCGCGUUGUCCGUGAAAACUCACAGCUUAACUGUGGGCGUGCGGGCGAUACGGGCAGACUGGAGUACUGCAGGGGGAGACUGGAAUUCCUGGUGUAGCGGUGGAAUGCGCAGAUAUCAGGAGGAACACCGGUGGCGAAGGCGGGUCUCUGGGCAGUAACUGACGCUGAGGAGCGAAAGCGUGGGGAGCGAACAGGA